UAAAAGGUGAAAGGUAGGCUAAUAAAAGGUGAAAGGGAGGCUAAUAUCUAGGCAGGCUAAUAAAAGGUGAAAGGUAGGUUAAUAUCUAGGUAGGCUAAUAAAAGGUGAAAGGUAGGCUAAUAUCUAGGUAGGCUAAUAAAAGGUGAAAGGUAGGCUAAUAUCUAGGUAGGCUAAUAAAAGGUGAAAGGUAGGUUAAUAUCUAGGUAGGCUAAUAAAAGGUGAAAGGUAGGCUAAUAUCUAGGUAGGCUAAUAAAAGGUGAAAGGUAGGUUAAUAAAAGGUGAAAGGUAGGCUAAUAAAAGGUGAAAGGUAGGCUAAUAUCUAGGUAGGCUAAUAAAAGGUGAAAGGUAGGUUAAUAUCUAGGUAGGCUAAUAAAAGGUGAAAGGUAGGUUAAUAAAAGUUGUAAGGUAGGCUAAUAAAAGGUGAAAGGUAGGCUAAUAUCUAGGUAGGCUAAUAAAAGGUGAAAGGUAGGUUAAUAUCUAGGUAGGCUAAUAAAAGGUGAAAGGUAGGUUAAUAUCUAGGUAGGCUAAUAAAAGGUGAAAGGUAAGCUAAUAUCUAGGUAGGCUAAUAAAAGGUGAAAGGUAGGUUAAUAUCUAGGUAGGCUAAUAAAAGGUGAAAGGUAAGCUAAUAUCUAGGUAGGCUAAUAAAAGGUGAAAGGUAGGUUAAUAUCUAGGUAGGCUAAUAAAAGGUGAAAGGUAGGCUAAUAUCUAGGUAGGCUAAUAAAAGGUGAAAGGUAGGUUAAUAUCUAGGUAGGCUAAUAAAAGGUGAAAGGUAAGCUAAUAUCUAGGUAGGCUAAUAAAAGGUGAAAGGUAGGUUAAUAUCUAGGUAGGCUAAUAAAAGGUGAAAGGUAAGCUAAUAUCUAGGUAGGCUAAUAAAAGGUGAAAGGUUCAGUUAGCAUCCAGGCGUUUAUGACCAGGUUGUAGAACGGUGGAUAGUUCAGGUCCUGCUCUGUUAUACCAGGGCAGCAGAUGAUUCAACAGAAUAACAUGGCCUGUAGGUGUUCUUUGGACAAUGGUGGUGGUGUUUUGUCAGGAGGAAUUCAGCUCUGCUUUAGUUUUGGUCAGAACUGAUAGCCUGGUCCCAGAUCUGUUUGUGCUAUAUAGUCGGCUCCUAUCUUCUCAUGGUCUCCUACGGUUCUACAGCAUAAACAAGUCUGGGUCCAGGCUAGGAGUUGUUCCUGGGACUGAGAAAAAGAAAGCCCCUAGAGCCAAGGAUACGGAACUGUCCUUGUUGAAGGAAUGUCACUGUUCUGGCUGUUCUUCUAAAGCAGAGCAUGUGGGCAGAGUUGAGCGGUCUGAAAUCCAGCUCCUCAUGGAGAGGUGCUUGUGCUCUUCACGUCCUUUCCACCCCCUCCUCUUAAAACCUCUCCUCGCUCACAGGAAAAUACUGCUGCUCCAAAUUCACUCCAUUCAUUACACUCACAAUUGAACUAUUUCUUCUGAAUGGUAGGUCCUAUUUCCCUGGACCUACCAUUCGGGUUUAAAGUAUUGAAACCAAACCAUAUGAUUUUAAUGAAAAUUAUUAUAAUGAAAAACAUGAAAAGGUGAAUGUAAGAAGCGCUCAUCAUUUCAAACAGGCCACAUGUCAUAUUAAACAGCAUAUAACCACUCUAAAUAGGUCAGGAGACAGACAGGGAGACGAAGAAAAAAAUAAAAAAUGAAUUAUUUAGGCUGUAUUAUUUCAAUUAUUUCAAGGCUACAGCUACAAAUAAAUACAUAGGGAAGCAUUUGGGAGUGUGACACACUAAGCUGUCAGGGACAUUAAACACUCAGCAUUUAAACAAUGUUUAGUUGUAUUCUAUACAUUACACAUAUAAACUGUGACUUACUAAUUAUUUACAAAUGAAAUAAAUGCCUUAUUGUGCUCCAUCUACAGUGCCUUUAAAUGUAUCUUUAGAAACAUGUGUUUGGCCAGAGUCUGUGGCUUCAGGCCCAUGUGAUGGUAUCUGGAGAGCAGGGCAGCAGUGGAGAACAUCCUCUCAGACCUGGCAGAGACACUGGGGAUGAUAACACCUUCGGGCUGCUCUUGCCAGGCCGGGCAGAGAUGCAGAGUUGUUUUUGUCAGUCGGCGUAAAGGAUUUUAGGUAAAAUAACCCUAUCAAAACAGAAAGCUUCUUGAAAGAGGUAAUGCCAGGCCUACUGGGCCUAAAUCAAUAAUGGCCUAUUUUAUAGAUAAUAGAAGGGAAAUGUUAUAGUUAACUACCCACCUCGUUCCUUUCUUUUUGCAUGAGCACGUAGUAAGUACACCAUCAUGCUUUCAGGAUGUCUUUUCAGAUUCCACAAUGACUCUUUAGUUGUGGACACUACAUCACCACACUCCCUCUCUUCUUUAGUUGUGGACACGACAUCACAACACUCCCUCUCUUCUUUAGUUGUGGACACUACUUCACCACACUCCCUCUCUUCUUUAGUUGUGGACACUACAUCACCACACUCCCUCUCUUCUUUAGUUGUGGACACUACAUCACCACACUCCCUCUCUUCUUUAGUUGUGGACACUACAUCACCACACUCCCUCUCUUCUUUAGUUGUGGACACUACAUCACCACACUCCCUCUCUUCUUUAGUUGUGGACACUACAUCACCACACUCCCUCUCUUCUUUAGUUGUGGACACUACUUCACCACACUCCCUCUCUUCUUUAGUUGUGGACACUACAUCACCACACUCCCUCUCUUCUUUAGUUGUGGACACUACAUCACCACACUCCCUCUCUUCUUUAGUUGUGGACACUACAUCACCACACUCCCUCUCUUCUUUAGUUGUGGACACUACAUCACCACACUCCCUCUCUUCUUUAGUUGUGGACACUACAUCACCACACUCCCUCUCUUCUUUAGUUGUGGACACUACAUCACCACACUCCCUCUCUUCUUUAGUUGUGGACACUACUUCACCACACUCCCUCUCUUCUUUAGUUGUGGACACUACAUCACCACACUCCCUCUCUUCUUUAGUUGUGGACACUACAUCACCACACUCCCUCUCUUCUUUAGUUGUGGACACUACAUCACCACACUCCCUCUCUUCUUUAGUUGUGGACACUACAUCACCACA